GAUCAAUUUAAUCUCACAAAUAUGAAACAAAUACACCAACAUAUUAUGUGAAUAAGUGUGGACCACUCUGUAGCUAUUCUACACGGAUGGAACUAUACCUUAAUUUAUUUUAGAUUUAUGCCCCCUUUGUUUCUGAAAGGAUGUGAGGCAGUGAACAGAAUUCAAAUGGUUUAAAGUUGCAAAAGGCACCUGAAAUGUACCACCAACAAAUCAAUAAACUCCAUCAAAACCUAAACAGCCUGUGCUUUUCAGUUUCUGGGCCACGUUUGCGGUUUCUUAAGGGAAAAUGGACUCAGCUUCCUCUUCUCCAUUCUCACAGGCGUCUCAUAGGGAAGUGGGCGCUGUCUGGGUCGUCGUUAAUAAGCACACUAACUUGCAUGGGCUGGGCUUCUAACCCGCUCACAGCAGCGAUGUGUCAGUGAACCUGCACGGAGCCCUGUUGUUGCUGUGGACUUGAUACAAUGAGUGAUAAUAUUUGUAAGACUUUAGAUCUGGAAUAUAUCUAUUUUAAAAAGUAGAUAAGGUAUUAAGAAUAUCACUAUAUAUGUAAAAAAUAGCUCUAGAACCUUUUUUUUGACUAGAAAGAACUUUCUACCACAACUUGUAUUAUAGUAAAUGACACUCCAAAUGAUGAC
rnacentral:lncRNA from 1 species